CACGUAGUUAGCCGGAGCUUAUCCUCAGGUACCGUCAAAUUCCUCUUUCUUCCCUGAUAAAAGAACUUUACAUUACGAAUAACUUCUUCGUUCACGCGGCGUUGCUCGGUCAGGGUUCCCCCCAUUGCCGAAAAUUCCCUACUGCUGCCUCCCGUAGGAGUAUGGACCGUUCUCAGUUCCAUUGUGGCCGUUCAACCUCUCAGUCCGGCUACGCAUCAUCGCCUUGGUAGGCCCUUACCCCACCAACUAGCUAAUGCGCCACAGGCCCCUCCUUAAGCAGAUCUCUCUUUUAAAUAUAAAAGAUUCUUCCUCUAUAUCCUAUCCAGUUUUAUCCAUCGUUUCCAAUGGCUAUCCUCGUCUUAAGGGUAGGUUACCUAUGUAUUACUCACCCGUUCGCCACUAAAGUACCCGAAGGUACUUCCCGUUCGACUUGCAUGUAUUAGGCACGCCGCCAGCGUUAAUCCUGAGCCAGGACUCAAACUUC
rnacentral:rRNA from 1 species